rnacentral:RNase_P_RNA from 1 species
UGAGUAAAACGGACGGUUGCGUGUAGAAAUACAUGAGGAAAGUCCGGGCUCCAUAGGGCAGGACGCCGGUUAACGGCCGGUGGAGGCAACUCCAAGGAAAGUGCAACAGAAAUAAACCGCCAAAUUUAUUUUGGUAAGGGUGGAAAGGCGGUGUAAGAGACCACCGCUUCCCCGGUAACGGGGAAGGCUCUGUAAACCCCGUCCGGAGCAAGGCCAAACGUACCUUAUGAUGCUGCCCGCAUCGGGUAAGGUAGCGCCGCGUGAGCGUACCGGCAACGGCACGCCAAGACAGAUAACCGUUCAAGACAGAACCCGGCUUACAGUUUUGCUCAAAAU